rnacentral:tRNA from 1 species
AAAACAGAAGCAUAAACUUGUGUAUUUUAUUUACGAUAAAAAGGAGGGCUUCCCCUGUUUUA